CUAGUACUCCCUUCGUCCGAAAAUACUUGUCAUCAAAAUGAAUAAAAAAGGAUGUAUCUAGAACUAAUAUACAUCUAGAUACAUCCCCUUUUAUUCAUUUUGAUGACAAGUAUUUCCGGACAGAGGGAGUAUUUG
rnacentral:pre_miRNA from 1 species